AGUGUCAAGGGAUGGGAAUCGAACCCACGACCUUCCGCUUACCGGGCAGAUGCCAUGACCACUAAACCACAUGACC
rnacentral:tRNA from 1 species